GCUGUUUAGAUUUAGUCAGGGCUAUAACAUAACCCUAGUCUGAUCUAUUACAAAUAAUUUAUAUUUAAAAAAUA